UUGGAAGUAAAUAAAAUAAAAAAACAAGAAUAAAUACAAUUGAGAGAGAAAAAGAAAUGUCAUGUGUCGAACGAAGAAGUAUCAACCCCAAGGUCCCCAAGUAGCUUUUUCUUUGCUUUUUGUUCUUCGCCUCUUUCAGCGGCGAAAGAGUAUCAGAAGAAAAAAAAGGGAAAAAAUCCCACCUCUUUAACAACCACACUUCAACUCGUAUGAUCUAAGAAAAUAUCUCCGAUACCCAUUUUGGUUUGUGUGCCCAAUUCUUCAUUUACUUCGCAAAUCC
rnacentral:lncRNA from 1 species